CCGGCCGGUAGCAGCACCGACCUUGGGCUCGAGCGCUGCCUCCAUUUGGCUCGGGCGCACGGAGCAGGGCCGCCGGUGGAGGCCGCCGCCCCCAAGGUAUGUUGGGCGCGAGCGCCGCCUCCUGCCGUCUCCAUCACCGGCCGGUAGCAGCAUCGAUCUUGGGCUCGAGCGCCGCCUCGAUUCGUCACCAUGCCCGGCUGGGAGCAGCGCCGGUGAGCCCCACCUCCCCUUAUCGCCAUGGCUGGCCGGUAGCCGCGCCGGCCUUGGGAGCGAGCGGCGACGGGUGGCUGAGGUCCCCAUCACCGUCGCCAUCUUCCCCGAGUUCCAGGAUCCAAAUCGAGUUCCCCGAGGUCCCCAUCACCCUACAACCCGGUGGUUUGCCGGUCGGCCAGCGGUCAUCUCUCUCUCCAUUCUUCCUCUCACAGAUUGGUCAGAGAUUGGUUUGUAUGCUUGCCGGCCGCCCAGGCAGCCAGGGAUCAAUCAGAUCUGCAGGAAAAAAAACGUGAAAUGUGAUCUACUAUGUGCUUUGCAAGACCGGCUUUUAGUUAAGCAGUGAUGCUUAUUUAUUAGGCACGGAAGAAUGGUUCUGGAAAAGGGGAGUGAUCUCAUGCUUUGAAAAUGUCAGCAAUGAAUCACAAAGGUGCCACUUGUCUUCCUGGAAGGUUGGUGUAGGAUGCAGUUCCAAAUUUUGCUUCAACGUCCUCAUAUGGUACACUGGUUAUUUGGGAAAUGGUGGUUCAGCUCACUGCUAGUGGAGCUGCCACAAGAUUUGAAAUGAUUCUUUUCUUGUGCUCUUUGAUCUACACAUUUUCCAUCGGUAUGGUUUGACCACAUGGAUUUGAGGUCAUGCAUUGCAGCCACAAUCUGGCCAUUCUCUUGUUUCAAAAGAAUGAAGGUGUGGAUGUUUGUCUAUUCGCCAAGUAUGUGCAAGAGUAUGGUUCUGCUAGCCCAUCACCAAACCGAAGGCAUGUUUAUCUUGCAUAUAUUGAUUUUGUCAAGUACUUGAGGCCUGAAAUCAAAUCUACAAGUGGGGAAGCUAUCCGUACCUUCGUGUAUUUGGACUACUUCAAGAAACAAGGAUUUGUAAGCCUCUCCAUAUGGGCUUGCCCAUCUACAAAGCGUAAUGACUAUGUUUUGUACUGUCAUCCCACGUCACAGAAAAUGCCAAAGCCUCACAAGCUUUGGAGCUGGUACCAGAACUUCGUCAACAAGGCUGUUAAGGAGGGUGUAGUUGUGGAGCGUAAUACAUUGGCCUGUUGUCGGGGUGUGUACGUGGUAAGUGCACUAUGGUUCAGCCUUCUUUGUACCUCGCUUGAGCAUCCUGCCGGCCCACAGAUGUCCAGAAAGACAUGUGCGUGUAUUUCGUGCUGGUCGUCGAGCAUGGAUGCAUUCAGAUUUUAAGAUUUCGGUUAAGUUCUGUCCUUGCUUCUGAUAUGAUCCAUGACGGGAAAUAAGAAAAGAGUCUUUUUUUGCUUUAGUAGCACAACGUACAGAAAAGCAUUAGCAUUGCUGCAAUUGUUGCAAGUAAAUCAGAGAGGUGGCAGCGCUACAUUGUUAGUAGUAGGUCCUAUGAAAAAUCUCUAGAAUUAGAAGAGUGUAGUGUGUCAUUGCUUUAACUGUGCUUAAAGGCCCAGGAGGGGCCUUGCCUCACCGUGGGUGUGCAGGGUUCAGGAUUGGUUUUUUUUUAGUUGUUCGUUAGUCUAACAGAUGUAUCCUAAAUACUCAGUGACCACAGAGUGAUGUGUGUCCAUAUAUUUCGACUCCCAUCUUGAUAAUUACUGUUAUUCUGCACCAGUGAAUUAGUAUGUCCUGUAAGAAGAGCAGAAACUAUCCUAGAUACUCAUGGUGGCAAAAAUUGAUGUGUCCAGAAACUAUAUUUGGGACCCCAUCUGACUUGUGCCAAUGGAUGAGGUAUGGCAAUAAUAUUCUUAUUUUUCCAAGCUGGUAUACUGAUUUCAUUCAUCCUACUUCUGAUGAAACAUGAGAAGUUGAGCCAAGAAGCAGACGUUAUUUGGUAUGCUCAUAUUCAUUUAAUUAUCAUGUUUUUAAGGCCUAACAUUACGAAACUAUGCUACAGAUGAGGGUAAGUAAAUCAGGGCUUGCUAUAUUUGAAUAUGCUAUGGAAUCAAGAAAGAAUAAUAACUUUUUUGAUGGCAUGUUGUUAGUUAUGUAUGAUCAAUUUUGAAGUGUCUCAUGAGUUAUAGCAUGCAAAAAACCAUGACCAAUAUUCCUGAAACACUUCAACAAGGGGAUGGUUAUCUCCUACUUUUUAAAAUGAGACGUUGGUUAGGAUACAAACAAAUCUUUGUAAGUUUCUCUUUUUUCUGAUUAAUAUGACUAAUUUUUUUCCUAUAUGUGGAUACAAAUAUUUGUGCAAAACCUGUGGAGACUGAUAUUCCUGGUAGUUUGCUAUAUCCUAGGUACCAUGUAAUACUAAUCUUUGUAUGUUAUUUUGGGAAGAAAAUUAUUUGGGAACUUUCAAAUAAUUUUGCUUGAAACAGAUGCUAUCUAUCUUAUGUUUGAUUUUUCAUAUUCUUUCCCUUCUUAACUUCUGUGAUUAUUUUUAGGCAACCUCUGUCAGUAGAUAUUGUCCUAGAACUGAUAAUAUUUAUAUUUUAGGCCUAAGAUAUAUGUUUAUGGAUAACACAUUUAUUCAGUGUACACUCUUCCUAUUGUCAGGUCCCAUA